AGUUUGUAGAUGCAAAUAGAAUUGCCUCUUCCUUUGAUUUAUAAAAAGUAACUGAAUAUAUAAAGUGCAUAUUUAUUUCAGCUUCCAGAACUCUUGGAAAUAAUCAAGCCAAAACUUGAAAUGAUUGGCUUUAAGAAUUUUUCUUCUAUCUCAGGUAAAAAUGAAUCUUGACUAAGCAAAUCUUUGAAUAAGAAAUGAUUUAAAAUAAAAUCUCAGAGACUGUAGGGUAUAUUUAACAUUUUCUUCUGUAGUUGUAAAUCCUUGGUUGUUUCUCUAUUCUGUAUUAUAACUUACCUAAAUAAGAUGUUUUAUUUAAUUCAUUUGAUCUGAUUUAUUAUAGUACACAAUGUAAAUGCUGUGACAGUAUUUCAAAUGAAGUUCAUGUCUGGGCCUGAGCAUGAUGAUUAAAUCCAGUCUUUAAUCUCAACAGCAGCCCUGGAGGACUCCCAGAGCUCUUUUUCAGCCUGUGUGCCCUCCUUGAGUAGCAAGAUCAUCCAGGAUUUAAGUGACUCUUGCUUCGGUUUCCUAAAAAGCGCCCUGGAGGUUCCCAGGCUUUACCGAAGAACCAAUAAGGAGGUCCCAACCACAGCUUCCUCCUAUGUGGACAGUGCUCUGAAGCCCUUAUUCCAGCUUCAGAGCGGACACAAGGAUAAGCUCAAACAAGCAAUAAUUCAGCAGUGGCUAGAAGGCACUCUCAGUGAAAGCACUCAUAAGUAAGUAAAUUAAAAGCAGACCUUGUGGGCCUUGCUUAGAAGAGUCUGCGGCAGAAACCCCCAAGGCAAUCAAGCACUGCGUAUGGAUAAGGCAGUGAGACUGCCUAGCACUUCUUCACUGGAUUAGUCAGAGUGUGUGUCCCACUGUUUGCUUCCUCCCUCCCCA
rnacentral:lncRNA from 1 species